rnacentral:ncRNA from 1 species
GUGCCCCCGCCUCGUGAUCGUCUUCUCAGCCUUCACGUAGGGGGCGUUCGACGGAAGACCCCCGCACGGACGUGACGUGCGGGGGUCUUCU